rnacentral:rRNA from 1 species
GAUGAACGCUGGCGGCGUGCCUAAUACAUGCAAGUCGAGCGAACAGACGAGGAGCUUGCUCCUUCGACGUUAGCGGCGGACGGGUGAGUAACACGUAGGUAACCUACCUAUAAGACUGGGAUAACUUCGGGAAACCGGAGCUAAUACCGGAUAAUAUUUCGAACCGCAUGGUUCGAUAGUGAAAGAUGGCUUUGCUAUCACUUAUAGAUGGACCUGCGCCGUAUUAGCUAGUUGGUAAGGUAACGGCUUACCAAGGCAACGAUACGUAGCCGACCUGAGAGGGUGAUCGGCCACACUGGAACUGGGACACGGUCCAGACUCCUACGGGAGGCAGCAGUAGGGAAUCUUCCGCAAUGGGCGAAAGCCUGACGGAGCAACGCCGCGUGAGUGAUGAAGGUCUUCGGAUCGUAAAACUCUGUUAUUAGGGAAGAACAAACGUGUAAGUAACUGUGCACGUCUUGACGGUACCUAAUCAGAAAGCCACGGCUAACUACGUG